UUAGUUGCGAUGAAAAAGACAAGUAAUUCAUAUGCGCUGGUUUAGAGAACUUAUGGCUGGUGAAAAUAAGAGCAGCAGUAUGAAUGAAUACACUUUGGAGCUUCUAGAUGCAAAGUCUAGACGGUGAGUACACCGUUAUCAACAAGAGAGCAUGUCUUUGACAUGAAUAAAGGUGGUAACGCGAGAAUUCGUCCUUUGG
rnacentral:ncRNA from 1 species